AAUCAACUCUAGCAAAGGUAGUGGCUACAUCGAUUAAAUCCCAGAAAAUAACAUGAUGUGACUGGCACAUGUUUAAUAUGACAGGAUCCAAAUCACCAGUUGCUUUGAAUACAUAAGCACCAGUAGUGUAAUUAGCGUCAUAUGUAAGGUCCAAAUGAACAUUAUUUUCCUCCAUUAGUACAUCGUGAUGCGAGGAACUAGGGACGGCAGUAUGAAAUUCAACCUUAGUUAUUUCACAACUGAAUAUUGAUUUCUUCGAGUUCUUUUCCACAAUCGGACAUUUACUAAACGCAUAAAAGGAUUGGGGUUUCACUAUCAA